AGCAUGAGCGGCGUCGGCGGGUGCAGCCGGAGCGACUCCUUGACGACGGCCUGCAGGUAGGGGAGGCUCUGGAAGUCGGUCUCCAACAUGACGCGGUCGCGGCCGACGACGCGGUCGAGCUCCUCUUGCAGCUUCUUCUGCACCCUGGGGUUCCUCACCAGCUCUGCCAUCGCCCACUCGACUGAGAUGACUGUCGUGUCCAUUCCAGCAGUGAUCAUGUCCUGAACAGGGAGGGGGGAAUCAAGGAAGAUUAGUACUCAGCACGAGUUACCAGGAUCGGUAUCAGUAAUGAAAAUGUACAUGGUGGAUCCCCCCUUGAAUUAUUGGGGAAAAACAUAUGGUUUUCACCAAGUGGCUCAGUAGCUAACUGGCCUAACUUUUGCACUUUUCUCGUGUUUGAUAGUAGGUGAAUGAUUGAACAUAAAGUUCAACCAUUUCCAACUACAGAGUAAACAUAGACUUUUUCCAAAACCCACCAUCUUACACCUACCUUGAGAAAGUGACGUCUCAUUCUGACCCAAACUACAUACUGAACCUACUGGACUACUGGAGUAGGCAAAAGAAUUCUCCAGUGAACUUUAUAAAUCAGUAUUCUUUUGCCUACUGACCCAAACUACAUGCUGAUGCACAUGCACACAUCUAGUAUUAAAAGAAUUCAGCAGUGCAUCACAUCUCACAUCUGAGGAAUAAAAAACUUAAAAUAAACUCCAGGAGGAGGCAUAUACAAAUGACUGAAUGAGUAAUCUGUGAGAAAAGGGAUCCAACAUACCCAUAGAAGUCCAAUAACCGUGUCUUCGCUAAGGUCAUACUGCUCUUUGAGGGUGAAAAGUGCAUCCACAAAGUGCUGCUUGGCACCACUCUCCUUGAGAGCCUUAGCAUGCUCUUCAAUGAUCUUCAUUGUCAGGCGGUCCCUUCUCUCAUUGUGAGUUUUGUAGAGCUCCUCGUUAAGUGGACACAACCAUCUCAAAUACCAAAUAAACUCAGCAACAGAGAGAGAUGCACCAAUCUUGAUCCCGUUGUGCACGAUAGUCUUAAACUCACGCCCUUGCUCAUCAACUUCACCGUUUGCAUUCAUGAACCGCUUCCCAAAUGCCAGCCUUGUUAUGUUGUUGAAGGCCACCAUAGAAAGGUGGUUCCUCACUACCACUGGCUUUCCUUCAUUACCUGAAAACAAUAUAAGAUAAAGUAAUAAUUUAAAAUUAGAUACUACUGCGAAAUGCCUACCUGAUCUGGUAGCUGACUGUUUCAAUAGUGUAAUUCAUAGAAAUAUGUUAUAUUUCCUUUUUUUGUGGGUCAUUCCAGGAAUUACAUUAUGGAAAAAUAAAUGUUUGCUAAACAAUAUAAAAAUGUUAUCAAUGGGUAGUUUGCUUUUGCAACUAAAAUUACAAACCAGGAAGGAGCAUAAGACGACCAGUGGAACAAUCAAUUUUGUGUUAAAUAAAAUCAAAAGGUUAUCAAUGAGUGGUUUGCUUUGCAACUAACAUCAGAAGAAAUGUGCAUAGGACUAUACAUAUUAUUCAUGAAUACUAGAAAAAUAAAACCUAACACUAGUGCAAAGAGAUAUAUUCUGUAUAAUAACAUGUCACCAAAUAGAGUUCACAUGCAUUUUGCUAUCUGAACUCCCCCUUUUGGGAUAUGCUGCAGCAAUCCGUUCAAACCCACUCACUGAUUGCUCCGAAACUACAAAUACCCAAUACUGCAGCAGAGUCUGGUUAAAGACUAAAAGCUAUGUUGAUUGAGCUCAAAAUCACAUUUAUAACAUAUCAUCAAUCUGGUCAGCAAGUUUCUUUUUUAGAACUCCAAUGGUAUUAGCCUAGUUCGAACUUGGAGUCUCAGACAAAUCAAUGUAACAUUUUUGCAAAUGUCACAUGGUAAGCUGCUCAGAAAUCCAGGUUGUUUAAAAUGCUCUCAGAUUGCACAAGUGAACUACUGAACUAUAUAGUUCUGCAUUAAAGCAAACCUGAAUUCUUAUGUUUGCGAGUUGUCACCACAUUCAUAAUCUCCCAUGUGCUGAUCAAACUAAUUGCCAAGAAAACAAAAAAGGAACCCUAAUAUGAUUUUCAUGAGCUAUAGUUAUGGCCAAUGACAAUGAAGUCAAACUUGCUGGUUUGGUCAAACUGGCCUAAUGCCAAUAGAGAAUGCUUGGCGCACCAAGCUAAAUUUGCAUGUUAUUCUCUCAGUGAGAGGACAGACUUCCCAUCAGCACUUGCAUCACAUUAUUAUUUCUAGGCUGAGCCUAUAGUAGUGUGAAAAAUUCUUUAACAAAGUGUAGUGUGGAAACGGCCAAAUUAGCAGAAGCCCAACCAAAUACUUAAAACGGCAUCUAGAUCAAGAACAGCCUCGCGCCCUAUGAAUCCUAAAACUCAUGGGACGACCAGUCAAAUUUUAUAAUAUAACUACCAUGUCUGGUCGAUAUCAAGUAUAACCCUGUUGCCUAAUAAAAUAAACCCCAAGGUUCCUCAGCUCAAUGCAGCUCAUCGACUCACCGAUUACCAGUACUACUGCCUACUGGUGCCACUGUGCACACCAAUUUAGCAAAAUUAUUGACGCUAUGUCACCUCCGAUAACGUGCUACCAUGUGGCCACCUUCACAAUACGAGGCCUUUCUAUUCGUUUACCUGUGAUUGGCUGAGAUUUGACAUUUCCCCUACAGUUUUACACAAAACCAUCAAGAAGCCUACGAAGUUGCCGACCGAGGCCUGGCAUUUUUCUCAACGAUCGUAGCAGGCUUGCCACAAGAGCACAGAGCGAGUAGAUACGCAAUUACCGGCACUACUUAGCCGAGUCAACAGGAGGCAGCAGCUGGUCACCAAAUCCACCAACACAGGCAGCGACACGCCGACACCCCCAGCAACGACCCCACCACGUCCCCACGACAAGUCUUCGUACCAAAGAAUCGUCCUCCUUUUUUCACCGAACACCCUCAAUUUUGUACGAAUUGCAUACACCUAACACCAUCUGGGAUCGAAGAGAUGAGCAGUGAGAUGAGAUCUCUGGUUACUCACCCGGGGCGGUGGCGUCGCGGUGGACGGACUCGACCAUGGCGGUGACCUCGUCCUCGCGGAUGGGGCGCAGCGCCUCGAGGCGCUUGGGGGUGAAGAGCUCGAGGUUGCAGAGCUUGCGCACCUUGAUGUAGUGCGGGCCGUAGUCGGCCCAGAUCAGGUCCUGCCCGUUGCGGCUGAACCGCUGCGUGGAGCGGUUCCGCGGCCGGUCCGCCAGCUGCUGGUCCUUCUC
rnacentral:lncRNA from 1 species